rnacentral:lncRNA from 1 species
GGCCGUUUCAUUGUCACCGGCGUCGGCACGGCUGAAUCCGCGACGCAUCGCCGCCAUCCCGUCUUGGCCGGCGCCGGGGGUUUGCUUUAGGGGCACGGGCGACCCAGCGGGGACUUCAGUCUGGCCUAUUUUCUGGAAAGUCGAGAGGCUUGUGAAGAGCGCUUGGAGGACUGGCUUUGGGCCUGCAGUCUCACAGAAAGUUCUCCGCUCCCAGACAUGGGUCCCUCGGCUUCCUGCCUCGGAAGCGCAGCAGCAGGCAUCGUGGGAAGGUGAAGAGCUUCCCUAAGGAUGACCCGUCCAAGCCGGUCCACCUCACAGCCUUCCUGGGAUACAAGGCUGGCAUGACUCACAUCGUGCGGGAAGUCGACAGGCCGGGAUCCAGUAUGUACAGACAUCCUAAAAGUUGGGGGAAUAGGAGUGGAGGGGGAGGGAAAUUGUAGAGAUGGAGUCAAGCUGUUAGCAGAGGGCAGACUUUUUUUUUUAAGCAGGAGUUACACGUUGUCAGAACUGCUGCGACAGCAGAAUGGGAAUGCUUAACUUGAAAACUAAUAUUCCAAGGCUACAGAUGGUCAGCACUGUUUGCUUUAGGUGCGGUGUGGGGUAUUGAUUUCAGAGCAUAGUAAAUUUGCCAGGAACCUUAGCAAAGAGAAGUUAACACUAGUGUGGGGG